GAUUGCUUGCAAUCUGACGGCGACCGGCGAACGGGUGCGUAACGCGUAUAGAAUCUGCCUUGUACAGGAGGAUAGCCUUUAGAAAUGAAGAUUAAUACUCCAUAAUGCUGAGAGAUGGCAUCAUUUUUUAGUUAAAGAUUUAUCGGUACAAGAUGACUAUGCGUCCUAUUAGCUAGAUGGUAAGGUAACGGCUUACCAUGGCAACGAUAGGUAGGGGGUCUGAGAGGAUUAUCCCCCACACUGGUACUGAGACACGGACCAGACUCCUACGGGAGGCAGCAGUGAGGAAUAUUGGUCAAUGGGCGCAAGCCUGAACCAGCCAUGCCGCGUGCAGGAUGACUGCCCUAUGGGUUGUAAACUGCUUUUAUACAGGAAGAAACAGUCCCUCGUGAGGGGCCUUGACGGUACUGUAAGAAUAAGCACCGGCUAACUCCGUGCCAGCAGCCGCGGUAAUACGGAGGGUGCAAGCGUUAUCCGGAAUCAUUGGGUUUAAAGGGUCCGCAGGCGGUCAAUUAAGUCAGAGGUGAAAUCCUACAGCUUAACUGUAGAACUGCCUUUGAUACUGGUUGACUUGAGUUAUACGGAAGUAGGUAGAAUGUGUAGUGUAGCGGUGAAAUGCAUAGAUAUUACACAGAAUACCGAUUGCGAAGGCAGCCUACUACGUAUAUACUGACGCUCAUGGACGAAAGCGUGGGGAGCGAACAGGAUUAGAUACCCUGGUAGUCCACGCCGUAAACGAUGGACACUAGUUGUAGGGCGUAAGUUCAGUGACUAAGCGAAAGUGAUAAGUGUCCCACCUGGGGAGUACGAUCGCAAGAUUG
rnacentral:rRNA from 1 species